rnacentral:lncRNA from 1 species
CCUCCCUGGCCAGCGGGAUGUUCCUAGACCCAGUCCGACUCCCUUUCAGCUGCCUGCGGUCCUCCGGAGUCCCACUGGGGUGUUCCUGGGCCCAGCUUGAAUCCCCUCUUUUAGCCCACUGAAGUCCUUCUGGGGUACUGCGGUGUUCCUGGGCCCAGCCUGGAUCCCCUUGUCCCCCUGAAGUUCUUCGGGGUGUUCCUGGGCCGUACUUGGACCCCCGAUGGUUCCCUGGAGUCCUCCUGGGUUGCCUCCCCCAAGAACUGGAAUAUUCCUAGGCCCAGCCUGGAUUUGCCUCCGUUCAGCCUCCUGAAAUCAUUCUGAGCCUCAGCCUAGACCCCUUCCCAGUCCCGGAGGUCCCCUUGAGACCCAGGAUGUUUUGAUGGCUCAGUUGGCAACUGACUAGCAACAUUGUAUCCACAACCAAUCCAGGAGGAAACCUCAAUUAACCUAGUCCAGGGUCUUCCUAGGGUCAGCCUUGGGUCAGAAGAAGGUCAGGACCCUCUUCUCUAAGAAGCCUGUUCCGUCCAUAGUGAGUCAUCGGAUCUGAGGACCAACAGCCACCUGAGUCUCCUUCCCUCACCAGCUAGCUCAGAAAGGAUUUCUUGGACCCUUUUGGCCUAUGUUUUGAUCUUCUAAGCCUGUGAUCCCACCUGGUCCUCCUCCAACAUUCAGGACAAAGAGGGACUCUGUUCAGACCCCAACUUUCCUAUGCCUGGACUUGAAUAAAAACUGGAAACAGACUGGGGCCCAGGCACCCUUACCCUAGGAAAAGCAGAUUAUCCUUCACAGUUAUACUUUUAUGUGGUCUGGCCUUUGUCUAAGCAGCUGGAAAUGCCUCCGCAGGUAGAAACACUUUCUGUACAUCCUGAGGACCUGAGUUCAAAUCCUGGAACCCACCAACCGGAGGAAGAAGAGAAACAACUCCACAAAGCCACCCACCCUCUGACUUCUAUUUACUUUACAAUGAUGUUAG